GAGAAACAUAGGGUUAGAUCUACAAAAUGACAUGGCUCGGGUUAAAAUAAAAGAAUACAGGAACUUCAGGGACUUCUCUGGAAAAUUUACAAGACACAAGAAUUAAGUAAAAGGAAUAACAGAGAGUUCAGGGACUAGAUUGCAAAAACUCCAUCUUCUUCCUCCAACAGGCAACCAAGCACACAGAGGCAUGGCCGACGGGGAGGGGGUCUCGCCGGCGUGGGCGGAGGCCUCGCCGGCGGCGAGCUCGCCGGCGCGCGGGCGGCGGCGCCUCGGUGGGGGAGAGGAGGGAGAGAGGGAGGGAAAGGAAGGAGAGAGCUCUCACUGGAGAAGAACAGAAACUUCACCGGCGACAGUACGGGCGGCGGCGCGGCGGUGCGAGAGAGUGGCGGGUGAGUAGCAAAACGGAAAGAGAAACUCCGGGCGAGGUCGAUGGUGACCUUUAUAGGCCCCGGGGAGGAGCGGAAGGGGCUCCCGGGAGAGAUCGAAGGUCGGCCGGCCAUUAAUGGCUUUCAAGCUUGUGCGGCCGUUUCCGGGGAGAGGAAAGGAUGGGGCGAUGGUUUGAGGCCGGGAGUGGGGGAGGGGAGACGUCGCGAGGUCGUGGAGGGGCUCGGGAGGCCGAGGGACGCCGGGAGGCGAGGGGGCCUCGGCCGGCGGCACACAGGGCGGCGCACAUCACCCGUGCGUGUGUUUCUGGUGCUCCACGCGCCUGGAGGUAGGAGAUGAAGGGGUAGCAGGUUGGUUGGGCCAGCUUGGGCCGGCUGGUGGGGAGGAAAGGAGAGGGGAGGUGGUGGCCCAAGAGGAAAAGGAAGGGGAGAUGGGCCUGCGCAGGGAGAAAAGGAGAGGGGAAAAAAAAGAUGGGCCGGCGGGGUAGAUUAGGCCCAUGCAGUUGGGAGGGGGAAGGAAAAAAAAUGCCUUGCGGGCUGAAAGAGAGAGAGGAGGAAUUUCGGCCUAAGGAGAGGAAAGAGAGGUGGAGGGUUUUGAAAAUUUAAAUAGAGUUGAAGUUUUCAAAAUCCAAUUCAAAUUCUUUUGAAAUUCAAAAGCAAGCAUUCAAACAAAAGCCAAAAUAAAAGAGAAAAGAAAAACUCUACCAAGCACUUAUUGCUUCUAAAAUUAUUUCAAAUGCUCUUUAAUUAUUUGAAUACCGUAAUUUAAUUAAAGUAAUUUAUUUAAUCCUUAGGGUACGAAAAACUAGACCGAGUUGCUUACAUUGCAUUGUGAUGGAAUUUUGGGUGUUACAAAUCCUACCCCCCUUAAAGAGAAUCUCAUCCUUGAGAUUCGGAGAGAUUGGAAAACAACUGGGGAAACUCUUCAAUAAGCUCGUCUUCUCUUUCCCAGGUGGCCUCAUCUUCGGAGUGGUGACUCCACUGUACUUUGCACAUUUUGAUCACUUUACUCCGAGUGACUCUCUGAGAUGUUUCCAAUAUCUUGACAGGAUACUCCGAGUAGGUCAAAUCAUCCUUCACAUUAAGAUCUUCCAGUGGUAGCUGUUCUUCGGGUACUUUAAGACACUUCUUUAACUGAGAAACAUGAAACACAUCAUGAACAUCCGAUAAUUGAGCAGGUAGGUCUAACUGAUAUGCCACUUCUCCUUUUCUUUCCAGAAUUUGAAACGGACCAAUGUAUCGUGGUGAUAGUUUCCCUUUAACCUUGAAUCGUCAAAGACCUCUCAUAGGCGAUACCUUAAGAUACACGUAAUCUCCGACUUCAAACGUCAGUUCCCUUCUCCGAGUAUCAGCAUAACUCUUUUGUCGCGACUGUGCAGUCUUGAGAUUAUCUCGAAUUAUUUGAACUUGUCUUUCAGCUUCUUUAAGAAUUUCUGGUCCAAAAACCUGACUUUCUCCUGUCUGACUCCAGUAUAAUAGUGUUCUACACUUUCUUCCGUAUAACGCUUCAAACGGGGCCAUCUUAAGACUGGCUUGAUAACUGUUGUUAUAAGAGAAUUCUGCAUACGGCAAACUCUUAUCCCAACUACCUCCAUGCUUUAAAGCACAAGCUCUUAACAUAUCCUCUAAGAUUUGAUUGAUUCUCUCAGUUUGACCGUCUGUUUGCGGAUGAUAUGCGGAACUGAAAUUAAGCUUUGUAUCCAUUGAUUCAUGCAACUUCUGCUAGAAACGUGAUAUGAAUUGAGUACCUCGAUCAGAUACUAUUUUCUUCAUAACACCAUGUAAACAUACAAUCCUUGACAUAUACAACCCCGCUAACUUAGCUCCAUUAUAGGUUGUCUUAACUGGUAUGAAAUGAGCAACUUUAGUCAAUCUGUCCACAACAACCCAUAUAGAAUCAUAACCAUCGCGAGUGCGAGGUAACCCAACGAUGAAAUCCAUUCCGAUCUCUUCCCAUUUCCACUCUGGUACCUUCAGUGGUUGAAGUAAACCUGCUGGUCUUUGGUGCUCUGCUUUUACUCUCUGACAUACAUCACACAAAGCAACGUGGGUUGCCACAUCCCCUUUUUAAACCAUACCACCAAUAUUUCUCCUUCAAAUCCUGAUACAUCUUAGUACUACCAGGGUGUAUGGAAUAAGCUGAAUCGUGUGCUUCCUUCAAUAUAUGUUCACGAAGAUGGUCGGCCUCCGGUACACAGAUCCUUUUCUUGAACCAAAUAGUUCCCUGAUCAUCUUCAGUGAAAUCUGGGGCUUUUCCUAACCCAAUUAGAGUCUUGAUUUCCUUGAUUUUAGCAUCUGUCAAUUGUCCUUUUCUUAUCUCUUUUUCAAGUGUAGGCUCAAUUUCCAUAGUCACGGCUUCAGUAUGUGCAACAAUUCCUAAGUUGAGUCGCUCCAUUUCUCAACAUAACUCUUGAGAUAUCAAUCGUGCUAUAGUCACAUUAGCUUGACCUUUUCGACUUAAAGCGUCUGCUACGACAUUUGCUUUGCCGGGAUGAUACUGAAUAUCCAAGUCAUAGUCCUUGAUCAACUCUAACCAUCUGCACUGCCUUAGAUUAAGAUCUCUCUAAGUGAAGAUGUACUUUAGGCUUUUGUGGUCGGUGAAGAUCUGACACUUGUUCCCGAUCAUGUAAUGUCUCCAAAUUUUUAAUGCAUGCACAACGGCAGCUAAUUCCAAGUCAUGAGUCGGAUAAUUUUGCUCGUGCUUUCUCAAUUGUCUUGAGGCAUAAGCCACUACUCUACCUUCUUGCAUCAAUACACAUCCAAGUCCUAGACGCGAAGCAUCACAAUAAACAUCGAAGCCUUUGUGUAUAUCCGGCAUUAUCAGUACAGGAGCUGUAGUCAAUUUCUCCCUCAGUUCUUCAAAACUUGCUUGGCACUUGUCAUCCAAUUUAAACUAUUUUCCUUUUUCUAACAAUGACGUGAGAGGUUUGACAAUCUUUGAGAAACCUUCAAUAAAUCUGUGGUAAUAACCUGCUAAUCCAAGAAAACUUCUGAUUUCGGACACAUUCUUGGGUGGAUUCCAAUUCAGCACAUCUUGAACUUUGCUUGGGUCUACUGUGAUUCCUCCGUCGAUGAUAACAUAUCCAAGAAAGGAAACUUCCUUUAACCAAAACUCACACUUACUCAACUUGGCAUAUAGUUGAUUCUCCCGAAGCUUAUGUAACACUAAUCUUAAGUGCUCUUCAUGCUCUUCUUCAUUUCGAGAAAAUACCAAGAUAUCAUCGAUGAACACUACCACAAACUUGUCUAGGUACUCCAUAAACACCUUGUUCAUCAAGUACAGGAAGUAUGCCGGCGCGUUCGUCAAUCCAAAUGACAUCACGGUAUACUCAUAUAGGCCGUAUCUGGAUGUAAAUGCUGUCUUGGGAAUGUCUUCCGCUCGGAUCUUCAACUGGUGAUAACCUGAUCGCAGAUCAAUUUUGGAAAAUACUUUUGCACCUCUCAUCUGAUCAAACAGAUCUUCAAUCCUAGGGAGUGGAUACUUAUUUUUAAUGGUCACAUCAUUAAGAGCUCUAUAGUCCACGCACAUUCUUCUGGUGCCAUCCUUUUUAUCAACAAAAAGUACGGGUGCUCCCCAAGGCGAAGAGCUAGGUCGGAUAUAGCCUUUACUUUCUAAUUCUUCUAUUUGUUUCUUUAACUCAACCAAGUCUUUAACAUCCAUUCUAUAAGGUCUUUUAGAUAUGGGUGAUGUGCUGGGUAAAAGAUCAAUAGAGAACUCAAUAUCUCGGUCAGGUGGCAUACCUGGUAAAUCUUCAGGAAAGACGUCGGGGUAUUCACUUGCAACCUUGAUAUCUUCCAAGGACUUUCCUUUUAUCUGAUUCACUAAACACUUCUCUUCUGAUGGGGCGGUAGCUGUAAACUCAAUUCUAUCUCCUUGAGGGCUAGUUAACAGCAAUGAUGAAGCGUCCCCACAUAAGUAGAGACUAAAUGUGAUCCAAUUUAUCAGUCCCAGGAGGCUGAUAACACAUUUAUUCAACAGAUAGUUCAGAAACCGUACAACUCCCGAAGGAGCGGGCGGGCAAGCCACACCCAAAGCAAGACUAAAGCGAUAACAAUACAAAUCCAAGUUGCAGUCCAGUCGGACUUCGGGCUGCAAUCGGAACUAAGCGUCAGCGGAAGCAUCCUGCGAAAGGGCCAACACCGCAGGCAGCGUUGGGUGCAGACGCAGCCUCCUACUCGAAGUCCUCGGCGACGAAGUCCGGAUCCUCCUCUGAAGUAACAACACAAGGGUGAGUACAAAGGUACUCAGCAAGUCCAACCCCAUCCACGGAGGGGGAUACAACAAGAAUAUGCAUAUGAGUAAUCAAGGAUAAAGCUGUGGUUUAUUUGCAGUAAAGCUGAAUUUUAGACACAUGCAGGGUUUUAUUUCAAAGAAGUUUCAUGAAAACACUUUAGUAAACGAUAUAUCAAGUGGGGUUGAUCCUACACAAAGGAUCCAAGUUUUAUUGCUACCGGACUCCCCGUCCGCCGUAGCGCACGGCACACCUGCCGGACACUUCCAAAAUUCCACUUACCCACACACGCAGUAAAAUACCAGUCAUCCCCAAAAGCUAGUUGUGUGACCGAGCCGUAACUCGUCCAAUGCCGUGGACACGGCUACCUGGAUAGGUUUUAACUCUGCAGAGGUUGUACACUUUUCCCACAAGUAGGGUACCGUAUCGCGAUCACCUUAGUGACGGUACGGAUCCUAACAAAGCCAUUACCCACCUUAGCCAACACUGACUAGUCAACACGGAAGCACCCAAGGGGUUAGCAACCCAUCCACGGGGCCGAAACCGGGACCUAAGUCAUCAAGAGCUUAGUCCUUUUCCAAGGGCUCCCGCUGCUCACCAGCACACCUGAAGCCUAGCAGUUUAGCUAGAGGGGUUUAUGCUAAGCCGUUGCCCAUACAACGGUCGAGUGGUUGCACGAUGAUGGAAUUAGGCAGGAUGACACAUCAACUCGGUCCUUAGUCAUGACAAGAUGGAUAUCUCCCAUUCUGCUCAACCACUAAGGUACGAGCCCAACAACCCGGCAUUCCACACAAGAAACGCCCAUCCAUCUCAUCCACCACCUUUCUUUACACCCGAAAACCCAACUCCUUAGUUAAACAUACUCACACAUUUAUUUUCCGAAUAAACAGGUGAAGUCAUGUUUGAAUUUGGAUAAUGAGUCCCUAAGCAUUCUAGCAGUGUUUAUCAUCUAAACAGAGCAACUCAUAUUUAGAGAUAAAUAUGGGACAACAAGGAAUAGUCAUAACAAUCAAGGGGUGGCUAUCCAACCAUGUCUUGCGAUAAAACAAUAUGCAUUUUAUAAAACAGGCCAAUAGGUUGUGUCUGAAAAACUGGGUAUUAAAUAUGCAUCAAAGGGUGAGAUUGGACUUGCCGUUCUCAAAGCCUUCCGGGAGCUCCUGCUCGCGGUACUGGUCCUCGAGCUCGGGCUCGCGGUCGAACUCCUCCUCGCGCUCCUCCUCGGGUACUCCGCGAUCUACGACACACGCAAACGAGCACACAAUAAAUAAAAAGGAAAAAGAUUUUACCCGGUGAGCUCCGAACAGGAAAUAUGAACGGAAAAUAGGUAGGAAGGGUAUUUUCAUGAAAUUUUGAUAUGCCUCGGCGGAAAUAUAUGAGAGGAGGCCGUGGUCGAAUUUGGGAUUGAUUGGAGGAAAUUUGGCGCAUGAAAUGACGGGUUAAAGGAGUAUUAGGGGCUUUAAAAUGAGGUUUAGGACUGAAACGCGAGAGCAGGGGCCUAUCUGUAAUUAUUUUUGGAAUGGAGGGAGGACUAGUUCGUGAAUCAGGGAAACUGGUGGGUUGGAUCGCGAGGAGAGGGAUUUACCCCUUCUUCUUCCUGGAGACAACAGGAGGUAGAGGAAGGGAUGGCCGUCGGCGUUCUGGUGGUGGAAGUGGAGGAAGGCUCGGUGCUCGUGGUGAGGGUGUGGAGGUGCAAGGCUCGGCUCCCCCCUUUUAUAGGCGGCGCACGGGCGGGCGAGGGCCGAGGCAAUGAUGGCGGCCGGACCUUUGGCCGGUGGCGUGCCGGGGUGGUGAAGCUCGUGGACGGCGUGGUGGCGUGGUCGACGAGGCCACAGGAGCGGCGACCGGCGACCGGCGACACGACGCGACGCACCGAGCCAAGCGCUAGACGCCAAGACGCGAGCAGGCGUGGCACGGGCGACGUGAAGCGGCGCGCGGCCCAGCGCGCGUGCGCGCCUCGGCGCGCGUGCCGGCGUGGGUGGGGUGUCAGGCGCAGGUGGGGGGUGCCAGGGGAAGUAAAGGAGAGAGAGAAGAAAGAGGAAGGGAGAGGAGGAAGAAAGAGAAGGAAAAAGGAGAAGGGAAAGAAAGAGGAGGAAAGAGAAAGAAGGGAAAGGGAGGAAAGGGAGGAAAGGGAGAGGAAAAAGAUGGUGAAAAUUGCGGGAUUCGACUGGCGCGGUGAUGGACUUGACGGGCACGCGGCGAAAAUUACGGGGAGCGGAAAAAGAGAGUUGACGAGCCGGGGCCAGGACGGCGGGUCCGACAGAAGGGAAGGGAUUUGACGGAGCUCGGCGGUCGGAAAAAUUUUGGAAAGUAUUUUUAACGAGUGAUUUAACUGGGUGUAUUUUACGGGCGUUACAAAUGACCUCUUAGCACACAGAAUAAUUCCAUCACAUCCUUUUAACCAGUCCAUUCCAAGAAUUACAUCAACACCAUUGGACUUUAGAACCACUAGGUUAGCUAGGAAAUCUAUUCCCAUGAUUUACAGAUUAACUCGUGGGCAUAUUUGCCUAGUUUCCAUAUCACCUCCUGGUGAACUAACUAACAAGGUUUUCUUCAUAGAAUGCUUAGGUAUAUUAUGCUUUACCACGAAUUGAUCAGUUAUGAAGGAAUGAGUUGCUCCAGAGUCAAAUAAAACUGAUGCAGGUUCAGAAUUGACGAGGAACAUACCGAAAACAACAUCUGGAGCUUCCUGGGCUGUCUCAGCUGUCACGUGGUUCACCCUACCACGCAUGAAAUUUUGUUGGCCCUUGUUGCCCUGAGAGUUUUGAUUUCCAUUGCGUGCUUGCGACUGCUGCUGUGACUUCUGACCAUUAGUCUUCUGAGGGAUCUGCGUGUUGUUCUUGGGACAGGCGUUGGCGUAAUGUCCCACCUCACCACACUUGAAGCACCCAUUGGGCUGAACUGGAGUUACUUGAAUAGUGCGCGCUGGUGUUCCUGUGGCAUUGUUGGCCCGGUUGUGCUGAGAAUUUGAGUUGCGCUGGGCUUGUUGAUUGAAACAUUGCGGCGGUUGAGCUGUGCGUUGAAACUGCUGAUUCUGUUGAUAACUCCCACCCUGUCCUCCUGAGCGAAAUUGGGAUCCUUACAGUGAGUUGAAGCGGGGAUGGGUGUUGCUACUAGAUUGGCCUUGAGACUGAAAUUUUCCUCUUUUGUUCCCCGAGCUCUUUACGUUUACUUUCCAAACCAAUGGCUUUGUCCAACAAAGUUUGGAAGUUAGGAAAUGUGUGACUCUACAGCUGAUAAUUGAGUGGCCCUAUCAGACCAUCCAGGAAACGUUCCUGUCUCUUCUCAUCUGUGUCCACCUCGUUGGGAGCGUAACGAGACAGCUGUGUGAACUUGUCCCGAUACUCGCUAACUGUCAUAUUGCCUUGCUUUAAAGCUAGAAAUUCCUUCUGCUUGAGCUUCAUCACACUAGCUGGAAUGUGGUGUGUGCGAAAACUAUUUCUGAAUUCUUCCCAAGUAAUUGCAUUGGCAUUGGCGUGGGCAGUAGUGUAAGCAUCCCACCAGUCAGCUGCGGCUCUUUCCAAACGUCCCGCAGCGUACCAGACUUUCUCACGGUCAUUGCACUGAGUAAUAUCCAGCUUCUUGUUAAUGACCUUCAGCCAGUCAUCGGCGUCCAACGGAUCCACCGAGUGUGAGUAGGUAGGGGGGUGGUGACUCAUGAAUUCCCUGUGUUUGUCCCUUGGUGCCUGAGGUGCUUGGGGUGGUUGCUUAUUCUGUUGAGCUUGUAGGUUCUGAACAGCUGCAGUGAGGUUUUGGAGCAGUUGCAUCUGGGCAGCCAAAAAUGGUUUCAUUAUUGAAGGCGGUGGGGGUGGUGCUUGAUUCUGUUGGUUAACCACGUGAGCACGCCUCGUACUUGGAAUAUCUUGUCCUCCUCCUGACCUGGUGUUUACCAUCUGAGUGUUAGAGGAAUAAAUCUUGUAUAAGAAUGAUGAUUUGAUAAGGUAGAUAAAAAUGAACAACGAACCAAGAUUGAGACCCAAAGCUAUUAACUUUAUUUUAUUAAUUGAUGCAGUUGUGGCCAUCACUCCACAAAAACAUCCCAGACAUUACAAAGACCCAAAUCAAGCAUGUUUUCAACCAACAAACAUUAUUACAUCGCACGUCCUCAUAGGAACGGUUCUAUCGAAAGACACUGGUAGGCAUCCUAUAAGAAGGAAAAACCUAGUCUAGAAGACCGGUGACAGAACCAGACGUGCCAUAGCGAAGCCUCUUGCGGGGUGGUAAAACAGUGGGGUUGUAGGGCUCGACUGCCUCCUCAGGUGGCUCCUGUCCUGCAAGCUGUGCCUCAAGCUGUGCGAUCCUGGCGUGAGCGUCCUGCAGCUCCUCAUGUGUCUUGGCAAGCUCUGCUGUAGCUCCGUCGAGGUCGGUGUUGAGAGCAGCGGUGACUCGAGCAAGGACGUUGAUGCGGUCUUCUCCGGCUUCUCCCAACGGUACAGCUGUGUCCUCAGUACCACUGACUCGGCGAGGAAGGUGUCAAUAGACGGUGGUGCUCAACUCCUCGCGGUGAGCGAAGCAGAGGGCUGACAGAGCUCUCCUGGCAGCGUCGCUGACGGCUGCGGCGUAGGUGGCGUGAGGCGUAGUGGAGUCGUGCGCCAUGUAAGUCCUCAAGCCUCUGGAAGUCGCCAAACGCUCCUUGAUGUGGACCUGAGUGGAGUAGUAGUCAUCCAUGGUGGCGUGGGUGAUACGCUGAGUGACGUAGAGGGGCUUCACAAAGUUUCCCAGAGUCUCUAGUACUUCCCGGAGCAGUGUGGGAAAGUAUCCAGGCUCAUCAUCUGAAGUCUGGUAGUCACAAACUGGUGUCACAUCCUGCUGUCCACCAUCUUCAUCUCCACCAUUGUUGUCACCCUGGCUGUUGGUAUUGUCGUUGUCGCUGCCAUCAUCAUUGUAAUCUUCAUCGUCUUCAUCAUCAUCUCCCUCACCAUCGCUAUCAUCCCCCGAAUCGUCCGGGUCUCCACCAUCCGCAGCAGGUGCUUGAGCGAGAUCAGCUGGUGCUGAAGCGUCUGAUGCAGAAAUAGCUGGUGCAGGAGCAUCCGAAGCUGGGGCAGCUGGUGAUGCUGUCGGGAUCACCAGAUUCCCAUCCGAGUCGACCUCCAUGACACUGCCAUCCUCCAUCUCGACGUAGAAGUAAACCUCCUCUGGAUCCUCUUCAACCUCCUCCACAGGUUGAACCGGAGUAGCUGGCUAAGUAGGGGCAAUGCGAGCCUGGUAUCCUGCAGUGCUUUUGCAAGCAGUCAACCUGGUCCUGGCCAUCUGACAAAAGAAAGAACAGAUACUCAGAAUAAAACAAAAAUGAACAAAUUUUAACAAAGAAUGAAAAUAAAAUAGAUUUUUAUGAGGAAUUAAGACAUUUUGAGAGCAUACAUGGCUUGCUAGACAAUGAGUCCUUAUUCACGUCCAUUUCUACCUAGGCUUGCGUCCUACAGUCAACACAGCUCUGGUACCACUUCUAUCACACCCAGUUUUUGGAUAAAACCGAAUGCAUUGCAUAUGUGUGCCAGGAUCCGUUCUCACACAUAUGUUUGUUUAUAUUUGUUUGAAGGAGAUUUGCUUAUAUUUUUCUCCACGUUAGUCCUAAUCCCGUGCUGUUCGUGUAUAAUUUAUAAGAUUCAUAUAUCUGCUUAAAAAUGAUCUCUUGCGAACAUUCCUACUCACCUGUGUUAUUAGCACGCCAUGGCCAUUACUUAGUACAACUCGGCUAGUGUCACACCCGGUUUCUGGAUAAAACCGAAUGCAUCACAUAUGUGUGCCAGGAUCCGUUCUCACACAUAUGUUGACGUCAUCAGUGAAUACAUCAAAGAUAGUGCUCAAAAACGUACAUAAACCAAUAGGAACUUUAUUACACUCAACGCGAUAGACACGAAGGUCUUUAAUCGUUCACCGAUAACUUAACACGCACACACACACAACGUAGCUUCUCCACAGGCUUGACUGGUGGACCGCCUGCCUAGAACUCCUCGAAGUCGUCGAAGAACUCCCCGUCAUCACAAGCUUCUGAACAGUGUUUGGGCAAGGGUGAGUACACUUAUGGUUGGUACUCAGCAGGUUGGGGAAACAUGCAAGGCUCACAAGGAAUGGCUCAAGGCUUUAAGCGGUUAGCGUUUUAAUUGGUCAAAUUUUUAUUAGCAACACCUAAUUACUAGAUGUAAGUUUAUACCAACCCAAUUAAGCAUAUAACAUUAACAUAACCCAAAGGUAAAGGUAACACAGAUUAAUCUCAUCUUUAAGUUCAAUUAUCAUGUGAGGGUCCAAGCCGCUCUUAACCGUGAGCACGGCUGAUAUAUCAGUUUUCACUCUGCAGAGGUCGUACACUUUACCCACAACUCGUGGUCCCCCGUGUCACCCGGGUUUGCAAAGCCCUUAAACACUUCCUUUGGUGAGUGGCUGGGGUCCACUACGAAGCCUUUACAAAGACACGCAGAUAACUGGUAGCCCGCUAGAGUUUCAGUAGCGAUGCGGACCACAACCCGUUAAUGAGACAGCAGCUUAGCGAAGGCUACUGCUCCGGAUCGUGCACCCAACACCUUCCCCCUGCUUGCCCUUUCGGUAAAGCCACCAGCUAACUACAUGCCUAAUUAUUCGGCUAAGAUCAGAGCCAUAUGAUGUUGUGGUUGUACUGUUUUCUUGGGUGGUUCUCCAUGUUCCGAUUAAAUCAAGUGUUCUUGUAAUUAAACAUGUAUAGCAACAUAAAUAAAGCAUGAUUAACAUAUUUCAUGAUUAGCACAUUACCAACCCAAUUUAAGCGACUAGCAAGUCUACCCAACAUGAUUAAACAGGUUUUCAAGGAAUAAGGAUUAAAACUAGGUAAGUCCUUAAUAGGCAUUCCCGUCAAACUUAUGCACAUACAAGAAAUAAGUAAAGUGCUUAAUCAUGAUAUUAUUGGGACAAAAAGAACAUGCAGAGGGAGAAGGCCACUUGCCUUCCUCGGCAAACUGGGAGUACUCUUCUUCGAACGGUGGCUGCUCUUGGACUUGCUCCUCCGCGAACGUCACGUCGUCUACACGAUCACACAAGGCAAACAAAUAAAGAAUGAUUAAAACAGUACAACAAACAUAUGCAAAGGCUUACAACAAACUCCUAAAUCUAACGUUCAUGCAGAGACGAUCGCGUGAGCGCGAGGAUCGCUGAAAUCGGAUUUAAAACGAAGAAGAUAUGAGAUAAACAAGUUUCAGGGGCUAAAAUAGAAUUAACUAUAUACUUCAGGGGCUAGCAUGUUUUAGAAAGAUAUACUGAACAUGCAAAAACAGAGAAACAUAGGGUUAGAUCUACAAAAUGACAUGGCUCGGGUUAAAAUAAAAGAAUACAGGAACUUCAGGGACUUCUCUGGAAAAUUUACAAGACACAAGAAUUAAGUAAAAGGAAUAACAGAGAGUUCAGGGACUAGAUUGCAAAAACUCCAUCUUCUUCCUCCAACAGGCAACCAAGCACACAGAGGCAUGGCCGACGGGGAGGGGGUCUCGCCGGCGUGGGCGGAGGCCUCGCCGGCGGCGAGCUCGCCGGCGCGCGGGCGGCGGCGCCUCGGUGGGGGAGAGGAGGGAGAGAGGGAGGGAAAGGAAGGAGAGAGCUCUCACUGGAGAAGAACAGAAACUUCACCGGCGACAGUACGGGCGGCGGCGCGGCGGUGCGAGAGAGUGGCGGGUGAGUAGCAAAACGGAAAGAGAAACUCCGGGCGAGGUCGAUGGUGACCUUUAUAGGCCCCGGGGAGGAGCGGAAGGGGCUCCCGGGAGAGAUCGAAGGUCGGCCGGCCAUUAGUGGCUUUCAAGCUUGUGCGGCCGUUUCUGGGGAGAGGAAAGGAUGGGGCGACGGUUUGAGGCCGGGAGUGGGGGAGGGGAGACAUCGUGAGGUCGUGGAGGGGCUCGGGAGGCCGGGGGACGCCGGGAGGUGAGGGGCCCCCGGCCGGCGGCACACAGGGCGACGCACGGCACCCGUGCGUGUGUUUCUGGUGCUCCACGCGCCUGGAGGUAGGAGAUGAAGGGGUAGUAGGCCGGUUGGGCCAGCUUGGGCCGGUUGGUGGGGAGGAAAGGAGAGGGGAGGUGGCGGCCAAGAGGAAAAGGAAGGGGGAGAUGGGCCUGCGCAGGGAGAAAAGGAGAGGGAAAAAAAAAGAUGGGCCGACGGGGUAGAUUAGGCCCAUGCGGUUGGGAGGAGGAAGGAAAAAAAAUGCCUUGCGGGCUGAAAGAGAGAGAGGAGGAAUUUCGGCCCAAGGAGAGGAAAGAGAGGUGGAGGGUUUGAAAAUUUAAAUAGAGUUGAAGUUUUCAAAAUCCAAUUCACAUUCUUUUGAAAUUCAAAAGCAAGCAUUCAAACAAAAACCAAAGUAAAAGAGAAAAGAAAAACUCUACCAAGCACUUAUUGCUUCUAAAAUUAUUUCAAAU
rnacentral:lncRNA from 1 species